rnacentral:lncRNA from 1 species
GCCAAGCAAGGGAGCACAGAGGAAGCAAAGAAGAGGCAUAUUUUAGCCCGCCACUCAGUGCACAAGCACCGCUCAGCGACAGCGAGAAGACCUCCCUUCUCUUUAAGCACGUUUUCAAUGAGGAACUUGUGGCAAGUUGGAUAGCUUCCUGUGCACACUUCUUAGAAUCAUGCACGUUGAUAAAAAUGUAGCUUGCCUUGCACGCU